rnacentral:lncRNA from 1 species
GAUGCACUGGUGGUGGAACUGCACUUGCCGACUCACAAUAGUUAAGAUAUAUGGUCCCUAAAACUAAAAAUAGAAAUUUCAACUAUCGUCGUGGCCUGAAACUUCUAUAAUAGUAUCUGUACAUUUAUGAUUUAAGAUGCAUGUCUAUAUACAUGUUUCAUCAAUAACUAUUCUUUUUUUUUUUUUUUUUGUUAAAAGGCAUAUCAAUAACUAUUCUUCCCACGAAAAAAAUACGAGAGCCCACGUAGAAUCUUAUAUAAUAAGACAAGGUUUUUUCUUAACUUUGCCUCACAAUGCGACAUUUGUCACUCUGUGCUUC